UUAAACGGGAGGCUAAUUGGAGGGACCCUCCGGGAUGGUCGAAACUCUGAACGAACAACGCCCCCGGGACGGAGAAGGGUUUCGGAACCCAAAACCCCGGUUGCCGGGAAGAACGCCUGGGAAAAGUACCGGGCCCCAGGGGAACGGACCUGGGAAAAAACCCCCCGAUAAAUUCCUGGCCACCGCCGGGGUAAUUCCGAAGGGGCAAACCUUGGCCGAACUUUUGGGCGUAAAACGGGCCCCAGCCGUUGAUUAAAUCUGGGGUUUAACGGCGGGGCUCCACCACGCGUCCGACUGGAAACUGGUUUACCUGAAGGCCGAAAAAGAAAACGGAAAUCCACCUGGAACCGCGAAAUGCCGCGAGGAUUUGCAGAACCACCAGUGGCGAAAGCGACCUUCCGGGCUGAAACUUACCCUGAAGCUCAGAACCCGGGGGAGCCAACCGGGAUAGAAACCCUGGUAGAUCCCCCCGGUAAACCACGCAUGCCAAGGGUUU
rnacentral:rRNA from 1 species